AUUGAACGCUGGCGGCAUGCCUUACACAUGCAAGUCGAACGGCAGCACGGGAGCAAUCCUGGUGGCGAGUGGCGAACGGGUGAGUAAUACAUCGGAACGUGCCCAAUCGUGGGGGAUAACGCAGCGAAAGCUGUGCUAAUACCGCAUACGAUCUACGGAUGAAAGCAGGGGAUCGCAAGACCUUGCGCGAAUGGAGCGGCCGAUGGCAGAUUAGGUAGUUGGUGAGGUAAAGGCUCACCAAGCCGUCGAUCUGUAGCUGGUCUGAGAGGACGACCAGCCACACUGGGACUGAGACACGGCCCAGACUCCUACGGGAGGCAGCAGUGGGGAAUUUUGGACAAUGGGCGAAAGCCUGAUCCAGCCAUGCCGCGUGCAGGAUGAAGGCCUUCGGGUUGUAAACUGCUUUUGUACGGAACGAAACGGCCUUUUCUAAUAAAGAGGGCUAAUGACGGUACCGUAAGAAUAAGCACCGGCUAACUACGUGCCAGCAGCCGCGGUAAUACGUAGGGUGCAAGCGUUAAUCGGAAUUACUGGGCGUAAAGCGUGCGCAGGCGGUUAUGUAAGACAGUUGUGAAAUCCCCGGGCUCAACCUGGGAACUGCAUCUGUGACUGCAUAGCUAGAGUACGGUAGAGGGGGGAUGGAAUUCCGCGUGUAGCAGUGAAAUGCGUAGAUAUGCGGAGGAACACCGAUGGCGAAGGCAAUCCCCUGGACCUGUACUGACGCUCAUGCACGAAAGCGUGGGAGCAGACAGG
rnacentral:rRNA from 1 species